UACGGAGGGGGCUAGCGUUGUUCGGAAUUACUGGGCGUAAAGCGCGCGUAGGCGGACCUGCAAGUCGGGGGUGAAAGCCCGAGGCUCAACCUCGGAACUGCCUUCGAUACUGCGGGUCUCGGAGUCCGGGAGAGGUGAGUGGAAUUCCUAGUGUAGAGGUGAAAUUCGUAGAUAUUUAGGAAGAACACCAGUGGCGAAAGGCGGC
rnacentral:rRNA from 1 species